rnacentral:rRNA from 1 species
AACGAACGCUGGCGGCAUGCCUAACACAUGCAAGUCGAACGAGACCUUCGGGUCUAGUGGCGCACGGGUGCGUAACGCGUGGGAACCUGCCUUUAGGUUCGGAAUAACUCGGAGAAAUUUGAGCUAAUACCGGAUGAUGUCUUCGGACCAAAGAUUUAUCGCCUUUAGAUGGGCCCGCGUUGGAUUAGCUAGUUGGUGGGGUAAAGGCCUACCAAGGCGACGAUCCAUAGCUGGUCUGAGAGGAUGAUCAGCCACACUGGGACUGAGACACGGCCCAGACUCCUACGGGAGGCAGCAGUGGGGAAUAUUGGACAAUGGGCGAAAGCCUGAUCCAGCAAUGCCGCGUGAGUGAUGAAGGCCUUAGGGUUGUAAAGCUCUUUUACCCGAGAUGAUAAUGACAGUAGCGGGAGAAUAAGCUCCGGCUAACUCCGUG